rnacentral:lncRNA from 1 species
AUGAUCAAAUCUUGUGAGGUAUUUCCUGUCCUUUUUCAGGUGCAGCAAUCUUUACCAAAGACCUACGCUAAAACAAGUUCAAGCAAGCUGGAUCUAUCUCCAAUACAAAGAACAGGAGAGCCUUUGGUCGCAGAAAUUUGCGACAGAAACCGGAUGGGGUCUCAGCUCAGCUCAAGAUGUUCACCCAGAACCGGAAACUCUGCGCAAUCAGCAAAGGUGGGCGGCUCCGGAGAGCGGCCAGCUGCGAUGAUUUCCCUCAUCUUCUUCAUGUGGUUAUAAGGAGCUGGAGAUCACUUCACCUUGCCGGAAGAUUACUCAACUUGGGUAGCGCUUGCCACUAUAGAAAACUACAGCUUUAGUCUUGCCUUAUAUUUGUACGUCAUUGUUGUUUUUUUUUUUUAUGACCUCUGCCUUCCCUUCAUCAGGAAUUCUCACCACGAACCUUUCCUGCAAUAACCUGGUUUUUCAUCUCCAAGCCUGAUCUCCCUCCUCACCCGGACCGACCCGCUCUCCCACCGCUCACCUCCCUUGGAUUCUGGAUUCACGCUGACGUUGCUCACCCCAGACCUGGCUACCCUCCCAAGCUCUGGAUUUCAGCCCCCACAGUAAGAUCCACUACUAACCGAGUCCUGCAAUUCUAUUCCCCGCUGCCCAACACUGACAGUGUUUGUCUCAACAGACCCAGCCCCGGAGCUGUGCUCAACAUCACCGCCACGUCUGGCGGUGCACCUUUAGUUCUCCUUAAAAUAAAACAUUUAUUUUUUUCCUACCUACGUCUCCUAGUGUGAAUUCUGCAUGUCUUGGGUCAGGAAACUUCCCUCAGUCAUGACACUCAAACCAGCCUUAUUAAAUUGAAUUGGUCCUUUACUUUGGGCAUCCUGCAAAUUUGAGCUGAAUCAAUAUCCGAAGGUCAGAGCAGUCAAAAAAAUAAAUAAAUAGAGGAAAUUGGUACUAGCCCUGAGAAUUGGUGGAUCUUUACUAAGAAUGUUCUGGGUCACAAUGGAUCUGUUUGAACCACUGAGAGGACUGAGCCAUCCUGUUUUUCU